rnacentral:rRNA from 1 species
UAGGGAAUCUUCGGCAAUGGACGGAAGUCUGACCGAGCAACGCCGCGUGAGUGAAGAAGGUUUUCGGAUCGUAAAGCUCUGUUGUAAGAGAAGAACGAGUGUGAGAGUGGAAAGUUCACACUGUGACGGUAUCUUACCAGAAAGGGACGGCUAACUACGUGCCAGCAGCCGCGGUAAUACGUAGGUCCCGAGCGUUGUCCGGAUUUAUUGGGCGUAAAGCGAGCGCAGGCGGUUAGAUAAGUCUGAAGUUAAAGGCUGUGGCUUAACCAUAGUAGGCUUUGGAAGCUGUUUAACUUGAGUGCAAGAGGGGAGAGUGGAAUUCCAUGUGUAGCGGUGAAAUGCGUAGAUAUAUGGAGGAACACCGGUGGCGAAAGCGGCUCUCUGGCUUGUAACUGACGCUGAGGCUCGAAAGCGUGGGGAGCAAACAGGAUUAGAUACCCUGGUAGUCCACGCUGUAAACGAUGAGUGCUAGGUGUUAGACCCUUUCCGGGGUUUAGUGCCGUAGCUAACGCAUUAAGCACUCCGCCUGGGGAGUACGACCGCAAGGUUG